UUAACCGGAUAGGGGAGCCGCAGGGAAACCGAGUCUUAACUGGGCGAAUUAGUUGCAGGGUAUAGACCCGAAACCCGGUGAUCUAGCCAUGGGCAGGUUGAAGGUUGGGUAACACUAACUGGAGGACCGAACCGACUAAUGUUGAAAAAUUAGCGGAUGACUUGUGGCUGGGGGUGAAAGGCCAAUCAAACCGGGAGAUAGCUGGUUCUCCCCGAAAGCUAUUUAGGUAGCGCCUCGUGAAUUCAUCUCCGGGGGUAGAGCACUGUUUCGGCUAGGGGGUCAUCCCGACUUACCAACCCGAUGCAAACUGCGAAUACCGGAGAAUGUUAUCACGGGAGACACACGGCGGGUGCUAACGUUCGUCGUGAAGAGGGAAACAACCCAGACCGCCGGCUAAGGUCCCAAAGUCAUAAUUAAGUGGGAAACGAAGUGGGAAGGCUCAGACAGCCAGGAUGUUGGCUUAGAAGCAGCCAUCAUUUAAAGAAAGCGUAAUAGCUCACUGGUCGAGUCGGCCUGCGCGGAAGAUGUAACGGGGCUAAAUUAUGCACCGAAGCCGCGGCAGCGAUAUGUAAAUAUUGUUGGGUAGGGGAGCGUUCUGUAAGCCUGUGAAGGUGACCUGUGAGGGUUGCUGGAGGUAUCAGAAGUGCGAAUGCUGACAUAAGUAACGAUAAUGCGGGUGAAAAACCCGCACGCCGGAAGACCAAGGGUUCCUGUCCAACGUUAAUCGGGGCAGGGUGAGUCGACCCCUAAGGCGAGGCUGAAAAGCGUAGUCGAUGGGCAACGGGUUAAUAUUCCCGUACUGGUGGUAACUGCGAAGGGGGGACGGAGAAAGCUAAAUCAUCCGGGCGACGGUUGUCCCGGUUUAAGCGUGCAGGUGGACUGACCAGGCAAAUCCGGUCGGUUGUUAACACUGAGGCGUGACGACGAGCCACUACGGUGGUGAAGUGAUUGAUGCUCUGCUUCCGGGAAAAGCCUCUAAGCUCCAGGUUACCAUUAAUCGUACCCCAAACCGACACAGGUGGUCAGGUAGAGAAUACUCAGGCGCUUGAGAGAACUCGGGUGAAGGAACUAGGCAAAAUGGUGCCGUAACUUCGGGAGAAGGCACGCUGGCACUAGGUGAAGUGGUUUACCCACGGAGCUGAAGCCAGCCGCAGAUACCAGCUGGCUGCAACUGUUUAUUAAAAACACAGCACUGUGCAAACACGAAAGUGGACGUAUACGGUGUGACGCCUGCCCGGUGCCGGAAGGUUAAUUGAUGAGGUCAGCCGCAAGGCGAAGCUUCUGAUCGAAGCCCCGGUAAACGGCGGCCGUAACUAUAACGGUCCUAAGGUAGCGAAAUUCCUUGUCGGGUAAGUUCCGACCUGCACGAAUGGCGUAAUGAUGGCCAGGCUGUCUCCACCCGAGACUCAGUGAAAUUGAACUCGCUGUGAAGAUGCAGUGUACCCGCGGCAAGACGGAAAGACCCCGUGAACCUUUACUAUAGCUUGACACUGAACAUUGAGCCUUGAUGUGUAGGAUAGGUGGGAGGCAACGAAGUGUGGACGCCAGUCUGCACGGAGCCAUCCUUGAAAUACCACCCUUUAACGUUUGAUGUUCUAACCCGGGUCCAUAAUCUGGAUCGGGGACCGUGUCUGGUGGGUAGUUUGACUGGGGCGGUCUCCUCCCAAAGAGUAACGGAGGAGCACGAAGGUUGGCUAAGCAUGGUCGGACAUCAUGCGGUUAGUGCAAAGGCAUAAGCCAGCUUGACUGCGAGAGUGACGGCUCGAGCAGGUACGAAAGUAG
rnacentral:rRNA from 1 species